UCACCCGAUGACUGAAAGCAAGUACUGGUCUCUUAAACCAUUUUAUAGUAAAUUAGCACUUACUUCUGGUGAA
rnacentral:tRNA from 1 species